UACAGAGGGGGCAAGCGUUGUUCGGAAUUACUGGGCGUAAAGGGCGCGUAGGCGGCCUGCUAAGUCGAACGUGAAAUCCCUGGGCUCAACCCAGGAACUGCGUCCGAUACUGGUUGGCUUGAAUCCGGGAGAGGGACGUGGAAUUCCAGGUGUAGCGGUGAAAUGCGUAGAUAUCGGGAGGAACACCAGUGGCGAAGGCGGCGACCUGGACAGUUACUGACACUCAACUACGAAAGCGUGGGGAGCAAACAGG
rnacentral:rRNA from 1 species